GCCGGUCUCACGUAGCUUAGUCGGUAGAACACCCGACUAUGGUGCAGUAGAACUCGGGUUCGAGCCCCGUUGAAGGCA